UGGGGAAUAUUGGACAAUGGGCGAAAGCCUGAUCCAGUCAUGCCGCGUGUGUGAAGAAGGUCUUCGGAUUGUAAAGCACUUUAAGUUGGGAGGAAGGGCAGUAAGUUAAUACCUUGCUGUUUUGACGUUACCGACAGAAUAAGCACCGGCUAACUCUGUGCCAGCAGCCGCGGUAAUACAGAGGGUGCAAGCGUUAAUCGGAAUUACUGGGCGUAAAGCGCGCGUAGGUGGUUUGUUAAGUUGGAUGUGAAAGCCCCGGGCUCAACCUGGGAACUGCAUCCAAAACUGGCAAGCUAGAGUACGGUAGAGGGUGGUGGAAUUUCCUGUGUAGCGGUGAAAUGCGUAGAUAUAGGAAGGAACACCAGUGGCGAAGGCGACCACCUGGACUGAUACUGACACUGAGGUGCGAAAGCGUGGGGAGCAAACAGGAUUAGAUACCCACGUAGUCCCUGAGCGGGCUGGCAAGGCGCAU
rnacentral:rRNA from 1 species